rnacentral:rRNA from 1 species
UGAAUACGAGAUGCUACGGCAUUGAAGCAGUGUAUGUCAGACUUCCAAGAAAAGCUCGCAAUGUCAUAAACAAUAAAUGCCUGUACCAUAACCGACACAGGUGGGUAGGUAGAGUAUACUAAGGGGCGCGAGAUAACUCUCUCUAAGGAACUCGGCAAAAUGACUCCGUAACUUCGGGAGAAGGAGUGCCUUAUUUUAUAAGGUUGCAAUAACAAGAUCCAAGCAACUGUUUACCAAAAACACAGGUCUCCGCUAAGUCGAAAGACGAUGUAUGGGGGCUGACGCCUGCCCAGUGCCAGAAGGUUAAAGAAGUUGGUUAGCUUCGGCGAAGCUGAUGACUGAAGCCCUGGUGAACGGCGGCCGUAACUAUAACGGUCCUAAGGUAGCGAAAUUCCUUGUCGGGUAAGUUCCGACCCGCACGAAAGGCGUAAUGAUUUGGAUACUGUCUCGGAGAGGGGCUCGGUGAAAUAGACUUGUCUGUGAAGAUGCGGACUACCUGCACCUGGACAGAAAGACCCUAUGAAGCUUUACUGUAACUUGAGAUUGAAAUUGGACUUUAUUUGCGCAGUAUAGGUGGGAGACGUUGAGAAUAUUCUUGCGGGAAUAUUGGAGUCAUCAGUGAGAUACCACUCUUGUAAUGUUAGAUUUCUAACUUGGUAUCAUUAUCUGGUCAAAGGACAGUUUCAGGCGGGCAGUUUGACUGGGGCGGUCGCCUCCUAAACGGUAACGGAGGCGCACAAAGGUUUCCUCUGAACGUGUAGAAAUCGUAUCUAGAGUGUAAAGGCAUAAGGAAGCUUGACUGUGAGACCUACAAGUCGAGCAGGGACGAAAGUCGGUCUUAGUGAUCUGACGGUGCUGAGUGGAAAGGCCGUCACUCAACGGAUAAAAGUUACUCUAGGAUAACAGGCUGAUCUCCCCCAAGAGUUCACAUCGACGGGGAGGUUUGGCACCUCGAUGUCGGCUCAUCGCAUCCUGGGGCGGUAGUACGUCCCAAGGGUUGGGCUGUUCGCCCAUGAAAGCGGUACGCGAGCUGGGUUCAGAACGUCGUGAGACAGUUCGGUCCAUAUCCGGUGUAGGCGUUAGAAUAUUGAGAGGAGCCUUCUUUAGUACGAGAGGACCGAGAAGGACAUACCUCUGGUGUACCAGUUAUCGUGCCAACGGUAAACGCUGGGUAGCUAUGUACGGAGUGGAUAACCGCUGAAAGCAUCUAAGUGGGAAGCCCACCUCAAGAUAAG